GACGAACGCUGGCGGCGUGCUUAACACAUGCUUGUCGAACGGAAAGGCCCUGCUUUUGUGGGGUGCUCGAGUGGCGAACGGGUGAGUAACACGUGAGUAACCUGCCCUUGACUUUGGGAUAACUUCAGGAAACUGGGGCUAAUACCGGAUAGGAGCUCCUGCUGCAUGGUGGGGGUUGGAAAGUUUCGGCGGUUGGGGAUGGACUCGCGGCUUAUCAGCUUGUUGGUGGGGUAGUGGCUUACCAAGGCUUUGACGGGUAGCCGGCCUGAGAGGGUGACCGGCCACAUUGGGACUGAGAUACGGCCCAGACUCCUACGGGAGGCAGCAGUGGGGAAUAUUGCACAAUGGGCGGAAGCCUGAUGCAGCAACGCCGCGUGCGGGAUGACGGCCUUCGGGUUGUAAACCGCUUUCGCCUGUGACGAAGCGUGAGUGACGGUAAUGGGUAAAGAAGCACCGGCUAACUACGUGCCAGCAGCCGCGGUGAUACGUAGGGUGCGAGCGUUGUCCGGAUUUAUUGGGCGUAAAGGGCUCGUAGGUGGUUGAUCGCGUCGGAAGUGUAAUCUUGGGGCUUAACCCUGAGCGUGCUUUCGAUACGGGUUGACUUGAGGAAGGUAGGGGAGAAUGGAAUUCCUGGUGGAGCGGUGGAAUGCGCAGAUAUCAGGAGGAACACCAGUGGCGAAGGCGGUUCUCUGGGCCUUUCCUGACGCUGAGGAGCGAAAGCGUGGGGAGCGAACAGGCUUAGAUACCCUGGUAGUCCACGCUGUAAACGGUGGGUACUAGGUGUGGGGUCCAUUCCACGGGUUCCGUGCCGUAGCUAACGCUUUAAGUACCCCGCCUGGGGAGUACGGCCGCAAGGCUAAAACCCAAAGGAAUUGACGGGGCCCCGCACAAGCGGCGGAGCAUGCGGAUUAAUUCGAUGCAACGCGUAGAACCUUACCUGGGUUUGACAUGGAUCGGGAGUGCUCAGAGAUGGGUGUGCCUCUUUUGGGGUCGGUUCACAGGUGGUGCAUGCCUGUCGUCAGCUCGUGUCGUGAGAUGUUGGGUUAAGUCCCGCAACGAGCGCAACCCUUGUUCACUGUUGCCAGCACGUUAUGGUGGGGACUCAGUGGAGACCGCCGGGGUCAACUCGGAGGAAGGUGGGGAUGACGUCAAGUCAUCAUGCCCCUUAUGUCCAGGGCUUCACGCAUGCUACAAUGGCUGGUACAGAGAGUGGCGAGCCUGUGAGGGUGAGCGAAUCUCGGAAAGCCGGUCUCAGUUCGGAUUGGGGUCUGCAACUCGACCUCAUGAAGUCGGAGUCGCUAGUAAUCGCAGAUCAGCAACGCUGCGGUGAAUACGUUCCCGGGGCU
rnacentral:rRNA from 1 species